rnacentral:misc_RNA from 1 species
AAGUCGUAACAAGGUUUCCGUAGGUGAACCUGCGGAAGGAUCAUUAAUGAAAUGAUUUUUUUUCGGGGUUUUCCCUGAAAAAUAAUUCACCUUUUGUGCACUGUUAUACGAUAUACUUUGGUUAGAGCUUUGAUUUCAUUUUUUUGAAAUCAACUUCUUGCUGACUCUAUCCUGCUAAGGACAGUUGGCUAUGGAGCGGCCUACCAAGGUUUUUUUAUCAAACUCUUGUAUUUGUCUGACCUAAACUACUAUAAUAAAAUCAUAACUUUCAACAACGGAUCUCUUGGCUCUC